rnacentral:rRNA from 1 species
CGCAUCUGUGCAUGCAGCAUAUCAAUAAGCGGAGGAAAAGAAACUAACAAGGAUUCCCUUAGUAACGGCGAGUGAAGCGGGAAGAGCUCAAAUUUGAAAUCUUCAAGGUUUUACCUUGACGAAUUGUAGUUUAAAGAAGUGUUUUCUGUUGAAGUUUUGGUAAAAGUUCUUUGGAAUAGGACAUCAUAGAGGGUGAGAAUCCCGUAUUUGACCAUUAUUUUCAGCUGUGUGAUACACUUUCAAAGAGUCGGAUUGUUUGGGAAUGCAGUCCAAAAUGGGUGGUAAAUUUCAUCUAAAGCUAAAUAUUGGCGAGAGACCGAUAGCGAACAAGUACCGUGAGGGAAAGAUGAAAAGAACUUUGAAAAGAGAGUUAAACAGUACGUGAAAUUGUCAAAAGGGAAGCGUUUGACACCAGUGUUGUUUUCUCGAAAAUCAAUUAAAAAGAGUUAGAUUUUGUUGUGUAUUGACCUUAACAGCUUGCAUUUCAAUUUUCUUGCUUUUUUUAAUGCACCUUUCGUUUAACAAGUCAACAUCAGUUUCUUUUGUUGUAAAAAGGUCAUUGGAAGGUAGCUUUCUUUUCGGAGAAAGUGUUUAUAGCCUUUGACUCCUGCAAUCGGAGAGACUGAGGUCUGCAGCGUAGAUCCUUCGGGGUUAGAUAGCAUUUGUGCUAAGUUAUAGCAUUUUAUAGACAACUUGUUGACUAUGAUUAGUCUUGUAGCUUACUCGCUUAUGCUAUUUUACCUACGCUUAGGAUGUUGAUGUGAUACUGCGAGCA